GGCCUUGCCCGAUUCGGCGAAAUCAACCGCGCUUUCAAUCUUGCCAUCCGCCCGGUCAGCGACCGUGCGCAAUACGGUGUCGAGGAUUACUGGUCGUCACCGCUGGCCACGCUGGCGGCAGGGGCNNNGCGAGGACUAUGCGAUUGCCAAGCUUGUUGCGCUGCGCGCCGCCGGCGUCGCGGCAGAGGAUCUUCGCCUCCUGAUCAUUCGCGAAACCGCGACCGGCGACGACCACGCGGUGGUCGCGGCCCGGUUCGAAGGACACUGGCGGGUGCUUGAUAACCGCACUUUCAUCAUGC
rnacentral:misc_RNA from 1 species